GUACACGCUGUGACUAGCAUAUCAAUAAGCGGAGGAAAAGAAACUAACAAGGAUUCCCCUAGUAACGGCGAGUGAAGCGGGAAGAGCUCAAAUUUGAAAUCUUAAAGGGUUUCCCUUUACGAAUUGUAGUUUAAAGAAGUGUUUUCUGUUGAGGUUUUGGUAAAAGUUCUUUGGAAUAGGACAUCAUAGAGGGUGAGAAUCCCGUAUUUGACCUUUACUUUCAACUUUGUGAUACACUUUCAAAGAGUCGGAUUGUUUGGGAAUGCAGUCCAAAAUGGGUGGUAAAUUUCAUCUAAAGCUAAAUAUUGGCGAGAGACCGAUAGCGAACAAGUACCGUGAGGGAAAGAUGAAAAGAACUUUGAAAAGAGAGUUAAACAGUACGUGAAAUUGUCAAAAGGGAAGCGUUUGACACCAGUGUUGUUUUUCUGAAAAUCAAUUAAAGAACUGUUUAUGCUAAGCUGUUUAGACUUUAUCAGCUAUCUGUUUAGUUUUGAGCUUUUCUUUAAUGCACUUUUCAGUUAACAAGUCAACAUCAAUUUCUUUUGCUGUAAAAAAGCUUGAGGAAGGUGGCUUGAGAUUCGUCUUAAGUGUUUAUAGCCUCUUGCCUAUGCAGUCGGAGAGAUUGAGGUCUGCAGCGUAGAUCCUUCGGGGCUAAAUGCAGUUUGUGCUAAGUUAUAGCAUUUUAUAGACAACUUGUUGACUAUGAUUUGUCUUGUAGCUUACUCGCUUAUGUUAUUUUACCUACGCUUAGGAUGUUGACGCGCGUGUGUGCGUG
rnacentral:rRNA from 1 species